UACGUAGGGGGCAAGCGUUGUCCGGAAUCAUUGGGCGUAAAGAGCGUGUAGGCGGCUCGAUAAGUCUGCUGUGAAAGUCCAGGGCUCAACCCUGGAAGGCCGGUGGAAACUGUCGGGCUAGAGUCCGGAAGAGGCGAGUGGAAUUCCCGGUGUAGCGGUGAAAUGCGCAGAUAUCGGGAGGAACACCGAUGGCGAAGGCAGCUCGCUGGGACGGUACUGACGCUGAGGCGCGAAAGCGUGGGGAGCAAACAGG
rnacentral:rRNA from 1 species